rnacentral:snRNA from 1 species
AGAUCUGUCGGUGGUCUGGCUGUGACAUUUAUCACCCUGUUGAUCACAGGGUUGAUUCAGCUGAUCUGCCUGGCUAGGCAGGUGUCCUGUUUCUUUCUCACAGCUCCAUGUGUGUUCCUCCCAAAGCUGUGUGCUUGGUUGAAGGGGACCAUCAUCCCUGAUAAAAGAGGACUGGUCUUCACUCAAAGGUGUACAAAUAGCUGCACUCCCUACUAGAACCUCCAAACAAGCUCUCAAAAUCCAUUUGUAGGAGAACAUAGGGUAGUCAAGCUUCCAAGACUCCAGACACAUCUGAAUGAGGCACUGCAUGUGGCAGUCUGCCUUUCUUU